rnacentral:lncRNA from 1 species
GAGGGCUCCAAACUCUGGAACUUUCACAGCUGCUGUCAUGGCUUGCUCGGGCUUGGCCGAGAGAGAAGAAUGGCAGGAGCUGGAUCGUUGUCUCGUCAAGAUCAAGAGCCUGGAACAGGGAAUGGUGAUCCAUUCUAGAAAACAAUCGGCAGGCCUACCGGAGAGCUUGUUUGUGGAGAAUUCUUUGAUCGAUAUGUACUCGAAGUGUGGAUGUUUGCUGGAUGCCCGGAUGGUUUUUGACAGGAUGAAGUUCCACGACGUCGUGUCGUGGAAUUCCCUGCUGCUGGGAUACGUCGAGAAUGGAUUUUGCGUGUUGGCGCUGGAGUUGUUCUCGCGGAUGGAAACUUCGGGCUUGAGACCCGACCCGAGAACGUUUGUAGCAGCACUUAUAGCCUGCGCUCCAGAAGAGAGUACUAUCAGCAAAGAAGAAGAAGAGAACAGUGAAAGAAAAAGAGAUGGACUUACAACUUGCCUGGAGAAGACGAUGGCUCUUCACUCGCAGGCAGCAGCAGCUGGUUUAGUCGAAUCCCAGAUUUUUGUGGCCAACACGCUGGUCGAUCUGUAUGGAAAGUGUGGAAGCUCCGUGGAUGCUCGCAAGGUGUUUGAUAGAAUGGCUCACCACAGCACUGUUUCGUGGAACGCUCUUCUCUUGGGAUACGUUGAGUGUGGAGAGAGCGAGCUAGCUAUGGAAGUGUUUUUGGCGAUGGAGGAAAUCAAAGAUAGAGGAGUAACACCAAAC